rnacentral:tRNA from 1 species
GGGCCUCGGCUGCGUCACGCCUGAUAAGCGUGAGGUCGGAGGUUCAACUCCUCCCAGGCCCA